AAGACUACACUUUCAGGGAUCAUAUCUAUAGGCAAUAAUGGGAGAAAUGUGCUUGAAAGUGUCCAAAUUCACCAACCACCAUGAUGAGUUUAAGGGAUCUCUUCUCAGCAUGAAGGCAGUUAGCAAAUCUAUUUCAUGCAGAUGUUGUUUGCUUUUGAUGACUGUGCUACUUCUUUAAAAAUAAAUUGUAGAAGAGAACUCAUUCAGAGUAGC